UACGAGGGGGCAAGCGUUGUUCGGAAUUAUUGGGCGUAAAGGGCGCGUAGGCGGUUUGGCAAGUCUAGUGUGAAAUCUUCGGGCUCAACUCGAAGUCUGCACUGGAAACUGCCGGGCUUGAGUAUGGGAGAGGUGAGUGGAAGUUUCCGGUGUGAGCGGUGAAAUGCGUAGAUAUCGGAAGGAACACCUGUGGCGAAAGCGGCUCACUGGACCAUACUGACGCUGAGGCGCGAAAGCUAGGGGAGCAAACAGG
rnacentral:rRNA from 1 species